rnacentral:tRNA from 1 species
GGAGGAUAGCUCUGUGGUAGAGUGCAUGCCUAGCACGCACAAGGUCCUAGGUUCAAUUCCCAGAACCUCCA